rnacentral:rRNA from 1 species
UGUCAACUCCUUAAAGUUGAGAGCGAGCUGGGUUAAGAGCCUCGUGAGACAGUUUGGUC